CUCCAGCUUCUGAACUUUAGACUAGGGCCGGCCAAGCAUAGCAACAAAGAUAUAGACUGGUACAUAGUGUGAGAAAGCCAAGCUUCUGUUCGCGAUGGAAUCACAGUCAACAACUCAGCUAGAAUAUGAGAAGACCUUGAUGUACGGUCAGUACUCGCAGCUCCAGGAGUUUGCUAAGGACUAUGCAAGCAGAACCAAGAUACCCAAACCACUCGGAAUCGAAGAAACAAGGCGUAGGAAAAGCAGGAAAUGGAGUGAUCCUCGGAAAGGCGAUAAAACAGUGUUUUCCUCGAUCUGAUCGUCGUCUAUUCUCUAUAGACAUGUUAACCUCAAUUCGUGUGAAAGAGAGAACAAGUGAACUGUCAUGACUUGUGCCCAUUAUGCCAACGCGCACGAGAAGCAUACUACCGGCUGAACCACUUCUGGAAUACCUGUGAAUGGUGCCCAAGAAUACGUCAUCCUUUUGAACCACUUCUGGAAUAUCUGUGAAUGGUGCCCAAGAAUACGUCAUCCUUUAACAGUUCGAUAGCUCAACUGUACAAUUUGUGACUUGUGUGUUCGCUAUCUGGCCCCUAAUGAUCUAUUGAGAGAUAUGACUGCCUAAAAAUACCAAACUGGAAAUGCUUCGAGCUUCAUAGGAAGAACAUGAGUGGAGGGGAGAGACAAAGUCAAAGCCAAGAAGAAAGGUGUUCACGAUACAGUGCAUUCACCCACUUGUGUUUUUUGUGUUGCUUGGUUUAUUUAUCAACAUGUAUCAGUUGAAAUAAUAAUUAUCAUGGCUUUUAUUGUAGUAUCUACCAUAACACUGGACAGACACAUGGAACCUCUGAUUAGAUAUAGUAGCUUCCUAUAAACCUCAAAUAUGUGACUGCAUUGUGCAUUAUUAUAUUUCAGUGUGGAAAUACAGACUGUUCAUGCCAGCAUGUAUGUAAUUGUUUGCCUCAAGCUAUAGUUUCGUGCCUUUAAUUAAGUGUAUGCCAGAAUUGCAUGUAUUCUGAUAUAGCCGACAAAAGGGUGUGGUGGGGUAUUGGGUCUAGAAGGCAACUGGACGAUAGGAACAACUUAUCAAUACCAUGUUUGGUGCAAAGCCCAUUAUGUGAUGUACGUAUAUUUAUUCUGCUUCUAUAAUUUAGAUACUGGCCGGUGAUGGCUCAUAUCUGGAGACACUAGCUGAGGAGUGAAUGGAACCCAUGCCUGUCUCAUCAAUCAGCCACAUCCUGAACUAAUUUUGCCCCAAUCUGUAUUACGUAAAACGUUUAUAACAUACGUUAAUAGCUAGUGUAAGUAAAUAUUGAUGUGUAUUUAUGCUAUACAGCACAAGCAGACAUUUUAAUAGUAUUUUGUUUGUCAAGA